GGCAGUUUGACAGAGGGCUCCCCAUGCCCCACGGCAUGGCUGUUGCUGCCAAGUUGAAUUGGCGGCCUGUGUCUUCCACUGUUGUGCAGGCAAUAUGGAGAGCAAACACCACCAUUCAUAACUCCCAAUGAGAGGAUAAUUCAGAUACAGGGAACUGAGACACCAGGAUAAGAGCCACCAAGAUUUUUUUGAGAUUCCAGGAGCAGUGAGCAUUGCAGGUGGAUCACCUCAUUAUGGGACUGCCCCAGUGAGAGGGAGCAGUCACCCCAUGAAGGGACCUAAGGUGCCCCCCCAGCAGGCACAGUCACCCCAUGAUAACAGCUGAAUAGUCCCUUGAGCAGCUAUUUCCCCAGUGCCACUGGACCUUCAGGAACCAGAAAUGAGGCAAUGAUGGACCAGACCACCAUCCGAUCAAGACUGCCUGACGCUGCCAACUUCCUGCCUCUGCCCUAUUUAAACCUGAACUUCUAGGUCAGGGCCCCUGAAGACAGGGCUGAGGAUGCUUGGCCCCCUCUGUUUCUCCCCAGCAUAGCCAUGUUGAAUAAAUUCCUUCUGUGCUUCCCUG